UCAACACACAAACUUUGUUGAAAAAUUUUCUCGGAUAACAGAUCAUUACAUCUCUUUUUCUCAAACGUGCUGGAUAGCAAGAAGAAACGGAUAUCCCUUUUGGUCAACAGUUCGUAAAUAGUUAAGAACAGAAGAAGAAUACGGCCAUUCCUUUUUGUUAUUAAAAUUCGUGAAAUACAAACCAACCGCCAAUAAGUCUUAUUCUUUAUGUGCGCGCAAAGGAACGGCAAAUUUUAAAGAAAUCGAAAAACAAAAAAAAUAUAAUAAUUAUUUUAAUUUGUUUAUUAGUUAAUUAAGUGUGAAUAACAAAUAUACACACACACACGUACGGCAAACAGAAAUCGUGCAGUGAAGCAAAAAGUUUUAUUUUAAUCAACAAUUUUUAAAUGGAUAUUAAAUCGUCGCGUUGAAAAGCAUACCACACAACAUUAAUGAUUUGUUUUUGUUAAAUAAAAAAAAAAAUUUUAAAGAAAAAGUUUUAAUUUGUUUAUGUGAGUGUCAUUAUCAUCGGCAACAAAAAAAAUAUAGUUUUAUCUAAAAGUUUCAUAAAGUAACAAUUUAGUCUCAAAUGAAAGCGAAAUUUACUUUGUUUGAGUAAAGAAGUUGUUUUAUAAAAAAUCUGAUCUUCAUUUCAUACACAGCCCAAAAACGACAAAGCAUAACAACAAUUUAAAAAAAUUUAAUAAAUUUAAAUUAAUUUUACCUUGUGAAUAAAUGUGACUUCUUUUAAAUGUGAGAUCAUAUACCAAAUUCCCAGAACUGAAUUAAGAAGAAUUCUAAAGAAAUUCAAGACAAAUUUCAAGUGUUCAAAAACCAAAUUCAAAGAAAAUUGUGAGUGAAUUCCAAAAUCUUUAAUGGAAAAAAGUCUAGCAGAAGCAAAGAAAAAGUGAGACCAAUAACACAAUAAAAUAAUAA
rnacentral:sRNA from 1 species